GCCAGCGUGGCUCAGUUGGUAGAGCAACGCACUCGUAAUGCGUAGGUCACCGGUUCGAGUCCGGUCGCUGGCUCCA
rnacentral:tRNA from 1 species